rnacentral:lncRNA from 1 species
GUUAGCAUGCCUUGAAGCAGCUGACCUGAAGAGCACCUUUCCUGUUGCCAUCUGAUCAUGCUUGAGGAGAAUGUAUACCCAAGCAUCUAUGUACCCACAUGUCCAAGUGUGCGGGAGAGAGUGAGCUGCAUUUGUUGAGGUUAUUACGUGUGGGAGGAUGUUUUGUACAGAUAACCUUAGCCUGGCUCCUGCCAAAUACCUUCCUUCCCAUUCUCCUAGAAUUUCACCCCACUCUCCAGUUGUGUCAUAGGCUGGCUGAUGAUUUUUCUCUUUUUUCCCUCCUCGUGACCCAUGGGUAGAACACUGUAUGGAGUUCCAGAAGACCAACGGCUCCCUGAAUGGUACCUCUGAGAAUGCCACCUCUCCUGUCAUCGAGUUCUGGGAGCGGCGGGUCUUGAAGAUCUCUGAUGGGAUCCAGCACCUGGGGGCCCUGCGCUGGGAGCUGGCUCUGUGCCUCCUGCUGGCCUGGGUCAUCUGCUACUUCUGCAUCUGGAAGGGGGUGAAGUCCACAGGCAAGGUUCGUGU